rnacentral:rRNA from 1 species
AUUCCGGUUGAUCCUGCCGGAGGUCAUUGCUAUUGGAGUUCGAUUUAGCCAUGCUAGUCGCACGAGUUCAUACUCGUGGCAGAUAGCUCAGUAACACGUGGCCAAACUACCCUAUGGAGAACGAUAACCUCGGGAAACUGAGGCUAAUAGUUCAUACGGCUCUCUCCCUGGAACUGGGUUGAGCUCGAAACGCUACGGCGCCAUAGGAUGUGGCUGCGGCCGAUUAGGUAGACGGUGGGGUAACGGCCCACCGUGCCAAUAAUCGGUACGGGUUGUGAGAGCAAGAGCCCGGAGACGGAAUCUGAGACAAGAUUCCGGGCCCUACGGGGCGCAGCAGGCGCGAAAACUUUACACUGCACGACAGUGCGAUAAGGGAACUCCAAGUGCGAGGGCAUAGAGCCCUCGCUUUUCUGUACCGUAGGGUGGUACAGGAAUAAGAGCUGGGCAAGACCGGUGCCAGCCGCCGCGGUAACACCGGCAGCUCGAGUGAUGACCGAUAUUAUUGGGCCUAAAGCGUCCGUAGCUGGCCGAGAGGGUCCGUCGGGAAAUCUGCUCGCUCAACGAGCAGGCGUCCGGCGGAAACCAAUCGGCUUGGGACCGGAAGACCUGAGGGGUACGUCUGGGGUAGGAGUGAAAUCCCGUAAUCCUGGACGGACCACCGGUGGCGAAAGCGCCUCAGGAAGACGGAUCCGACAGUGAGGGACGAAAGCUGGGGUCACGAACCGGAUUAGAUACCCGGGUAGUCCCAGCUGUAAACGAUGCUCACUAGGUGUGGCACUGGCUACGAGCCAGUGCUGUGCCGUAGGGAAGCCGUGAAGUGAGCCGCCUGGGAAGUACGUCCGCAAGGAUGAAACUUAAAGGAAUUGGCGGGGGAGCACUACAACCGGAGGAGCCUGCGGUUUAAUUGGACUCAACG